CCGCCAGCUCCUCCGCUGCCACCUCUUGGAACCACCGCUGCCGCACCAUACCGCCGAACGCCCGCCCCGCCGGAAGCCGCCGCUAGACAGAAAAGAAAAAGAAGAAAAGAAGAGCCAGGAGGAUAGGUUGUUCAGUUUACUACUGGAGACCUGACUGUGACAGACCACCAACACAAAAUUUUCAAAGAGAGCAAAGACAACCUUCUGCAGCAUGCACGACUCUCUCCUGUUUUCUUUGGAGUUAUGCAGGAUAACUUAGCCAGAACUUACUGAUGACUGCAUAUUCAGUGGGUUUGGGAAUGGACUGGGAGAUGCGGGAAGGCACUCUUUGGGAGGAACAGAAGAGGAGGCAUUUCAAAGAUCCUGCAGGUGAAUGAGGUGAUGAUCUGCUGUCAGAAUAAAUAAAUCUUACAAAGUGCUGAGACUGCUCAGCCUUUUGCUGUGGUAUCGCUUCCACGUGAGGAACCUGUAUUAUCAUCUUUCUUCAAGUAUCUUCUCUCCUGUGCUACAGGGUUCAUUAUUUUGCAGAGGAUGGGUCUUUCUGCCCUACAGGGAUCUAUCUAUCACUGCUGACUCUCUGCAUCUUCUCCACAGGGAAGAAGUAAUUGGAUUGUACUUUCUGCACGUGAUGAGAGCUGUAGGCUGGAGAACUAAGCUGUCAAGAGGGUAGGAAACCAUAUGAUGCCUAAGAAAACUAAAUGUGUGAGUGUAACUGCAAGACCUUUCCUUUCUUUCCAUAGAAGAGCUGGAACAUGCUGAACUGCACUCACCAAACUGCACUAGAACUUUGGGAAGGUCCGUGAAGCUUUAAGGAAGCAGAGAAAAACAUAACCACCCAAAUAAUCCCAGGGGCAUUAAAUGUCUGUGAAUAUAUAACACAAUAAGCCAUACUAUGAAUGUGAACAGCUAGGGACAUUUCUUAAAAAUAAAGAAGCAUUACUGCAAA